CACCCACAGGUGUGGAGGGGCAGGCCACCCCUUCAAGUACCUGGUCCAGGCCUGGGACUCCUGAGCCCUGCCAGCCAAGGCCUCUUCUGCCUACCCAGACACGCCUCCUUGGACAGUGGGGGAGGUGCCGCUCAAGCCUGAUGCUGAUCUCUUUUGACAGCUGCUCCUAAGGCUGGCAGGAUGGUAGGCAGUGGGGGAAGGGACCAGAUUUAAAGGUCCAGUUGCUCCGUCCCCUGCCAGACCUUGGCAGGCAAGCGCGGGUGAGCAUCCUCUGAGGGCUUGGGUCUUGCGUAUGUAGAAGGUCAGAGACCCCUCUACCCUAGUUUCCACUUCUUGGUAUCAUAAAGACCACUGGUCUUCAUGUCCGCUCCCACCCUACAGGCCGCCAGGGAGACCAGUGCCGCCCACCAUGCGAUUUCGACGCCUGACCCCUGGUUACUUCCGGGUGCUACAGAUGCAGGUAGCUGGUGAGCUGAAGGCAGAGCCCCGCAGUCUGCUGGUGGGAGUUGUGGCUACAGUGCUAGCUGUCCUCGGGCUGGGUGGCUCCUGCUAUGCCGUCUGGAAGAUGGUGGGGCAGCGGCGGGUGCCACGGGCCCC